rnacentral:rRNA from 1 species
GACGAACGCUGGCGGCGUGCUUAACACAUGCAAGUCGAACGGAAAGGCCCUGCUUUUGUGGGGUGCUCGAGUGGCGAACGGGUGAGUAACACGUGAGUAACCUGCCCUUGACUUUGGGGUAACUUCAGGAAACUGGGGCUAAUACCGGAUAGGAGCUCCUGCUGCAUGGUGGGGGUUGGAAAGUUUCGGCGGUUGGGGAUGGACUCGCGGCUUAUCAGCUUGUUGGUGGGGUAGUGGCUUACCAAGGCUUUGACGGGUAGCCGGCCUGAGAGGGUGACCGGCCACAUUGGGACUGAGAUACGGCCCAGACUCCUACGGGAGGCAGCAGUGGGGAAUAUUGCACAAUGGGCGGAAGCCUGAUGCAGCAACGCCGCGUGCGGGAUGACGGCCUUCGGGUUGUAAACCGCUUUCGCCUGUGACGAAGCGUGAGUGACGGUAAUGGAUAAAGAAGCACCGGCUAACUACGUG